AUACAUAAUUGUCAUCUUGCAGUAGCAACAAUUAUUUGACUCUUUGAUUGUUCAUUUAAAUACAUAAUAAAUUUAAAAUCAAAUCUUUCUUGUUAGUUCACGCUAUAACAACUACGUACCAACAGCUUGCAGCAGUUAUCAUUUUGCUCACGCAUGCACCAAAAACUGGUGCUGAUGAAAAUCUCGUAAACUUUCCCGUUACUCCGCAUAAAAAAUAUUAUAAAAUUGAUAUUGUAAUUCCAAUAGCUUCUAUAAUUAGCACCCAAGG
rnacentral:lncRNA from 1 species